rnacentral:rRNA from 1 species
CCUACGGGAGGCAGCAGUGAGGAAUAUUGGUCAAUGGACGAGAGUCUGAACCAGCCAAGUAGCGUGAAGGAUGACGGCCCUAUGGGUUGUAAACUUCUUUUAUAGGGGAAUAAAAUGUGGCACGUGUGGGAUUUUGUAUGUACCAUAUGAAUAAGGAUCGGCUAACUCCGUGCCAGCAGCCGCGGUAAUACGGAGGAUCCGAGCGUUCUCCGGAUUUCUUGGGGUUAAAGGGAGCGUAGUUGGCUUGUUAAGUCAGUUGUGAAAGUUUGCGGCUCAACCGUAAAAUUGCAGUUGAAACUGGCAGUCUUGAGUACAGUAGAGGUUGGCGGAAUUCGUGGUGUAGCGGUGAAAUGCUUAGAUAUCACGAAGAACCCCGAUUGCGAAGGCAGCUCACUGGACUGCAACUGACACUGAUGCUCGAAAGUGUGGGUAUCAAACAGGAUUAGAUACCCGAGUAGUC